AACGUAAGUUGUGCCCGAGGCUAUCCAGCCGAGGGCAUGUCUUCCUGGGCAUCAUGCCUUGCAUCGAUCUGUGCACCCUGCCCCCUAAACUGGGGAGGCAACAAGUGCAAAUGCGGAGAUUGUGCCACCAUGCCUUGCGGUGCGUCAGGUCAAAAUGCAGGCCACCGAUCGGGACGGAUGCGGCGAGUGGUGGACAGAUAUGUACAGCAUUGAAUGUCGCCUCCGCACUCAGCUCCAGUGGCACAUGCAAAGAAUCCAUGUCAUGUACCCCUCAUAACACGACCCCAGGUCAGGCAGGGCCACUUGUUGAGCUUAA
rnacentral:misc_RNA from 1 species